AUGAUCUACUUUAGCGAGUAUAAGGUUAGCUCGGCAGUUGAGGUGGGGGAGUUAGGGAUGGAUAUACGGAGGUCGAGGGUUCGAUCACCACCCCCAAAUAAAUACUAACUAUAAAAAACAUUUUUCUUUCAAAAAUAAUAUAUGAUCUACUUAUGUUGAAUUGGGGGCCUAACUCAUCCUUACAAAACCGGCUUGUAAGGUGAGGAUUGCCUCCUCUUUAUAAACUCUUCUCAAGAGUCUUGUCUAUCCGAUGUUUAGGCGGCCCUUGAAUUCGACAAGCUCUGAUACCAUGUUGAAAUUGGGGGCCUAACUCAUCCUUACAAAACCGGCUUGUAAGGUGAGGAUU
rnacentral:lncRNA from 1 species